UACGUAGGGUGCAAGCGUUAAUCGGAAUUACUGGGCGUAAAGCGUGCGCAGGCGGCUUUGUAAGACAGAUGUGAAAUCCCCGGGCUUAACCUGGGAACUGCAUUUGUGACUGCAUGGCUAGAGUGCGGCAGAGGGGGAUGGAAUUCCGCGUGUAGCAGUGAAAUGCGUAGAUAUGCGGAGGAACACCGAUGGCGAAGGCAGCCCCCUGGGUUAGCACUGACGCUCAGGCACGAAAGCGUGGGGAGCAAACAGG
rnacentral:rRNA from 1 species